ACCAGACUCCUACGGGAGGCAGCAGUGGGGAAUAUUGGGCAAUGGGCGCAAGCCUGACCCAGCAACGCCGCGUGAAGGAAGAAGGCUUUCGGGUUGUAAACUUCUUUUAAGAGGGAAGAGCAGAAGACGGUACCUCUUGAAUAAGCCACGGCUAACUACGUGCCAGCAGCCGCGGUAAUACGUAGGUGGCAAGCGUUAUCCGGAUUUAUUGGGUGUAAAGGGCGUGUAGGCGGGAGCGCAAGUCAGAUGUGAAAGCUCAGGGCUCAACCCUGAGCCUGCAUUUGAAACUGUGUUUCUUGAGUGCUGGAGAGGCAAUCGGAAUUCCGUGUGUAGCGGUGAAAUGCGUAGAUAUACGGAGGAACACCAGUGGCGAAGGCGGAUUGCUGGACAGUAACUGACGCUGAGGCGCGAAAGCGUGGGGAGCAAACAGGAUUAGAUACCCUCGUAG
rnacentral:rRNA from 1 species